UCUUAUGUGCUCUUCUUGCUACCUUGGAGACUGCCACGAUCGAUCGAUUAAUCAAUGAAUGAAGCCUGCCACGAAAUGGGCUGAAUCAACAUUGAUACUGAUGAUGAUGGUGGUAAUGUUGACGAGGAUGAGGAGGAGGAGGCGAUGUUGGAGUUAUCGAUGACUCCCAGCCCGUAGCAGAUCUCUUGUUCUCGUUGUUCCAAUUUAUGCAAAUUUCUCUCUUGAUUCAUUAAGAUCUUUAUUCUUUUAUUAUUGUUUUUCUAUAUCACCUCGUUUCCUGUUCUUUUUCAGGUUGAUCAUUUGUAUGAUCGAUGGGUGAGUGUUUUCGCUAGAUUUCUCUACUCUCCAUCUUUCAGCAAGCUUGUUGUCUAUGGGAUCUGAGCUUCACACUACGGAUCGGUGAGAGGCACCAGCCGAUUGCAUCGAGGUACCACCCACAUCCUCCGGUGAAACCCACUACCAUUCCUCCAUCCAUGGGCACUGUGAACUGGGUUCCUUCCUCCACACCAAAAGGCCCAAAAGUCCUCUUGUUGCUCUUGAAUGCAAGCGACCUGAUGACAGGAGAACCACCAUACACUACAGGGCAGUAGUGCCCACUUACGGUCAUCAGCUAUUGUUCUAAUAAGGAUCAGAUUCUAGAAAAGAAGAUGCAUACUUUUGCUGUCAUGCUGCCACCAUUUCCUCCAUGCUUUUCUGCCAGAAAA